AUGACAAAACCAAAGAGAAACGGAGGAAUUGGCUUUCGUGACAUGCACCUAUUCAAUCAAGCUCUGUUGGCAAGACAAGGGUGGAGGCUCCUGCAAAACCCUAACACCCUCUGUGCACGCGUCCUCAAGUCAAAAUAUUACCCACACGUCAGCUUACUUGACACGGUCUUCCCCUUGGACGCAUCCCAAGUGUGGCGAGGGAUAGAAUUUGUACUUGAGCUUCUAAAGGAAGGUCUGAUUUGGAGAGUUGGAAAUGGAAAAAGUAUCCAGAUUAAAAGAGAUCAUUGA
rnacentral:rRNA from 1 species